AGCAGCCGCGGUAAUUCCAGCUCCAAUAGCGUAUAUUAAAGUUGUUGCAGUUAAAAAGCUCGUAGUUGAAUUUCGGGAUCAAAUUGUCGGUCGUGCCUCGGUACGAACUGGUAUUAUUGGUUCCUCCCUUCUGAAGAACCGCGAUGUCAUUAAUUUGGUGUCGUGGGAAAUCAGGACUGUUACUUUGAAAAAAUUAGAGUGUUUAAAGCAGGCUUACGCUUGAAUACAUUAGCAUGGAAUAAUGAAAUAGGACGUUUGAUUCUAUUUUGUUGGUUUCUAGGAUCGACGUAAUGAUUAAUAGGGAUAGUUGGGGGCAUUAGUAUUCAAUUGUCAGAGGUGAAAUUCUUGGAUUUAUUGAAGACUAACUACUGCGAAAGCAUUUGCCAAGGAUGUUUUCAUUAAUCAAGAACGAAAGUUAGGGGAUCGAAGACGAUCAGAUACCGUCGUAGUCUUAACCAUAAACUAUGCCGACUAGGGAUCGGAUGAUGUUAAUUUUUUAAUGACUCA
rnacentral:rRNA from 1 species